GAUGAGAGGAGGCUUACCUGAGGAUCAGUGAGGACUCAAACUCCCUCCAUGUCUCCUUCAGUGUUUCCUUCCCCCCUACUUCAGUGUUUCCUUCCCUUCCCACUUCAGUCCUUUCUCUGCAGAGAUGAAGUGAUGAAUCGUCUGCUCGUCCUCACGGAUCUCUGCAGCUCAGAGGAAAUGUUGACUCUGAGAUAUUCGUUUCUGACGACGUUAAUCCACAUCCACCCUCCAGUGUCUCCUUCCUCGCUUCCUUCCUGCCGUCCUAUCUUCCUUUCCUCCUUCCCUCCGUCCUCACGUCAUAAAUCCUCAAUGCUGGAAGAACCACGGCUCACACACUCACACAAUCUCUCACUCAUCCACCCUUCAGCCGCGCACACACACAUCCCCGACGACGGUCACCAGGAGAAGCAGGAGGCUGAAACCACGGCAACCUGACAGCAUCCUCUGCUGGAGGCCCCUCCCCCUGCUGACGGAGGAGAGAGAGCUUCCUGCUUAGUGCAGCACAUCGGUUCUCCACAGAACCCAGAUUGUUCUCCCACCAACUGGACUAAAACAUGAGAACCUGGGUUCCAUACAAGCAGCAAGAAAUCAGUCUGAGAACAGCAGAAGGAUGAGUUUCACGUUAAUGAAGCUGAACAGAGACAGAAGGACCAGAGCUCUGAAGAACCCAGGAGAACCUUGUAGGACCUCACAGAACCCUGGUGAACCCUGUAGACCACCCUAGAACCUCACAGAACCAGCAAGUCUUUGAGUUUUCUCACCUUCUCUCCCUGAUCUCCUCUCCUCCUCUCUCCUCUUCCUCACAUUCCCUAACCCUAUCUAUACAUCCAUCCAUCCAUCCAUCCAUCCAUCCAUCCAUCCAUCC